AGAUAGUGCUACCACCCUGAAAGUGCCUGAUCUUGUCUGAUCUCAGAAGCUAAGCAGGGUCCGACCUGGUUGGUACUUGGAUAGGAGAUAGUGCUAUGCCUGUGGAGAUGGCACCUUGGCUGAGUUGUCUG
rnacentral:rRNA from 1 species